rnacentral:rRNA from 1 species
ACGGAGGGGGCGAGCGUUAUUCGGAAUUACUGGGCGUAAAGCGCACGUAGGCGGGGUCGUAAGUCGGAUGUGAAAGCCCUCGGCUCAACCGGGGAACUGCAUUCGAUACUGCGACGCUUGAGUGCCGGAGAGGGUGGCGGAAUUCCAGGUGUAGCGGUGAAAUCCGUAGAUAUCUGGAGGAACACCAGUGGCGAAGGCGGCCACCUGGACGGCAACUGACGCUGAGGUGCGAAAGCGUGGGGAUCAAACAG